AUGUAUUUGUUGUUGUUAUUGGAACCAGGCAGGACUACUAUUUGUUGGCUGAGUGGAAUAUUGUUGUUGUUAUUGGAGACAGGCAGGAGUAUUGUUGUUGUUAUUGGAGACAGGCAGUAUUGUUGUUAUUGGAGACAGGAGUAUUGUUGUUGUUGUUAUUGGAGACAGGCAGGAGUAUUGUUGUUGUUGUUAUUGGAGACAGGCAGGAGUAUUGUUGUUGUUGUUGUUAUUGGAGACAGGCAGGAGUGUUGUUGUUGUUGUUGUGAUUGGAGACAGGCAGGAGUGUUGUUGUUGUUGUGGAAUAGGCAGGGUAUUGUUGUUGUUGUUGGAGACAGGCAGGAGUAUUGUUGUUGUUGUUAUUGGAGACAGGAGUAUUAUUGUUGUUGUUAUAGGAGACAGGCAGGAGUAUUGUUGUUGUUGUUGGAGGCAGAGUGUGCUGCUGUUUGUGGAACCAGGGCAGGACUACUGUUGUUGUGGAGACAGGAGUAUUGUUGUUUGUUGUUGGAGACCAGCUAGGAAA
rnacentral:lncRNA from 1 species